GAUGAACGCUGGCGGCGUGCUUAACACAUGCAAGUCGAACGGUGAAGCAGAGCUUGCUCUGUGGAUCAGUGGCGAACGGGUGAGUAACACGUGAGCAACCUGCCCCUGACCCUGGGAUAAGCGCUGGAAACGGCGUCUAAUACUGGAUAUGAGCUGCGACCGCAUGGUCAGCAGUUGGAAAGAUUUUUCGGUCUGGGAUGGGCUCACGGCCUAUCAGCUUGUUGGUGAGGUAAUGGCUCACCAAGGCGUCGACGGGUAGCCGGCCUGAGAGGGUGACCGGCCACACUGGGACUGAGACACGGCCCAGACUCCUACGGGAGGCAGCAGUGGGGAAUAUUGCACAAUGGGCGAAAGCCUGAUGCAGCAACGCCGCGUGAGGGAUGACGGCCUUCGGGUUGUAAACCUCUUUUAGCAGGGAAGAAGCGAAAGUGACGGUACCUGCAGAAAAAGCGCCGGCUAACUACGUG
rnacentral:rRNA from 1 species